GACGAACGCUGGCGGCGUGCUUAACACAUGCAAGUCGAACGAAGAGCGACGGAAGCUUGCUUCUAUCAAUCUUAGUGGCGAACGGGUGAGUAACGCGUAAUCAACCUGCCCUUCAGAGGGGGACAACAGUUGGAAACGACUGCUAAUACCGCAUACGAUCUAACCUCGGCAUCGAGGGUAGAUGAAAGGUGGCCUCUACAUGUAAGCUAUCACUGAAGGAGGGGAUUGCGUCUGAUUAGCUAGUUGGAGGGGUAACGGCCCACCAAGGCGAUGAUCAGUAGCCGGUCUGAGAGGAUGAACGGCCACAUUGGGACUGAGACACGGCCCAGACUCCUACGGGAGGCAGCAGUGGGGAAUCUUCCGCAAUGGACGAAAGUCUGACGGAGCAACGCCGCGUGAGUGAUGACGGCCUUCGGGUUGUAAAGCUCUGUUAAUCGGGACGAAAGGCCUUCUUGCGAAUAGUGAGAAGGAUUGACGGUACCGGAAUAGAAAGCCACGGCUAACUACGUG
rnacentral:rRNA from 1 species